CGAGUGGCGGACGGGUGAGUAAUGUCUGGGAAACUGCCUGAUGGAGGGGGAUAACUACUGGAAACGGUAGCUAAUACCGCAUAACGUCGCAAGACCAAAGAGGGGGACCUUCGGGCCUCUUGCCAUCGGAUGUGCCCAGAUGGGAUUAGCUAGUAGGUGGGGUAACGGCUCACCUAGGCGACGAUCCCUAGCUGGUCUGAGAGGAUGACCAGCCACACUGGAACUGAGACACGGUCCAGACUCCUACGGGAGGCAGCAGUGGGGAAUAUUGCACAAUGGGCGCAAGCCUGAUGCAGCCAUGCCGCGUGUAUGAAGAAGGCCUUCGGGUUGUAAAGUACUUUCAGCGGGGAGGAAGGGAGUAAAGUUAAUACCUUUGCUCAUUGACGUUACCCGCAGAAGAAGCACCG
rnacentral:rRNA from 1 species